AUGUGUAUAUUUAUGUUUGUGUGCAUGUGCAUAUGCACACACCUAUAUGCAUAUACAUGCUUGCAUAGUAUGU
rnacentral:miRNA from 1 species